rnacentral:rRNA from 1 species
UGGGGAAUAUUGGGCAAUGGGCGAAAGCCUGACCCAGCCAUGCCGCGUGAGUGAUGAAGGCCUUAGGGUUGUAAAGCCCUUUCACCGGGGAGGAUGAUGACGUUACCCGGAGAAGAAGCACCGGCUAACCCCGUGCCAGCAGCCGCGGUAAGACGGAGGGUGCUAGCGGUGUUCGGAAUUACUGGGCGUAAAGGGUGCGUAGGCGGCCUGGCGCAUCGGGGGUGAAAGCCCGGGGCUCAACCCCGGAAUUGCCUUCGAGAUGGCUAGGCUUGAGGUCGAGAGAGGAGAGUGGAAUACCCAGUGUAGAGGUGAAAUUCGUAGAUAUUGGGUGGAACACCGGUGGCGAAAGCGGCUCUCUGGCUCGAACCUGACGCUGAGGCACGAAAGCGUGGGGAGCAAACAGGAUUAGAUACCCCUGUAGUCC